CCUACGGGAGGCAGCAGUGAGGAAUAUUGGACAAUGGGCGGGAGCCUGAACCAGCCAAGUCGCGUGAGGGAAGACGGUCCUAUGGAUUUUAAACCCUUUUAGGCGGGAAGCAAGGCCGGGCACGCGUGACCGGAGGGAGAGUACCCGCAGAAUGAGCAACGGCCACCUCGGUGCAAGCAGCCGCGGUAAGACGGGGGAUGCGAGGGUUAUCCGGAUUUAUUGGGGUAAAGGGAUGGGUAGGCGGACUUUAAAGUCAGCGGUAAAACGUCGGGGCUAAACCCGGGCCGGCCGUUGAAACUGGUGAUCUUGAGUGGGCGAGAGGUAUGCGGAAUGCGUGGUGUAGCGGUGAAAUGCAUAGAUAUCAGGCAGAACUCCGAUUGCGAAGGCAGCAUACCGGCGACCGACUGACGCUGAGGCACGAAAGCGUGGGGAUCGAACAGGAUUAGAUACCCUUGUAGUC
rnacentral:rRNA from 1 species